UGCGUAGGCGGGCUAAUAAGUCAGUGGUGAAAUCUCUCGGCUCAACCGGGAAACUGCCGUUGAUACUGUUAGUCUUGAGUUCGGUUGAGGUAGGCGGAAUGUGUAAUGUAGCGGUGAAAUGCUUAGAUAUUACACAGAACACCAAUUGCGUAGGCAGCUUACUAGACCGACACUGACGCUGAGGCACGAAAGCGUGGGGAGCGAACAGGAUUAGAUACCCUGGUAGUCC
rnacentral:rRNA from 1 species